rnacentral:lncRNA from 1 species
GGUCUUCUAUGCUCUUAAACAUCGUACUUUAUUUGGCCUUUUUAACUUUUUUGGAUUCCAGCGUCACUGAUGAGUCUUUUGUAGACGAAACGCGCGUCUGGCGUAAAUACAAAAUUUAAUCCUGGUACCUAUGAUGAGUUUGUUUAUUCAGAAAGUGUGAAAAUCUUUAUCAAAUGAUGAUGCAAUACAAAUAGACUUCUAAUAACUGAUCUACCAGAUUCAUUUUAAAUAUUUUG